AUUCUUUCUAAGAUUUCCUUUCAACUUUUCCUCUUUAGGUGGAGGUAGAGAUGAAUUCUUGCCAUUGGGCAUUCUUUUCAAGAUUUCCUUUCAACUUUCCUCUUAGGGAGGUAGAGAUGAAUUCUUUCCAUUGGACAUUCUUUUCAAAAUUUUCUUUCAACUUUUCCUCUUUAGGGGAGGUAGAGAUGAAUUCUUGCCAUUGGGCAUUCUUUCUUAGAUUUCCUUUCAACUUUACCUCUUUAGGGGAGGUAGAGAUGAAUUCUUGCCAUUGGGCAUUCUUUUCAAAAAAUUUACUCAUCUUUGGAUGAGGUGAAGCUAACUCUAUCGUUAGACAUAUUUUGGGUGUACACCCUACUCCCCCCCGCUGGUAACAUGUGAAGAAAUUGAAUGAAUAUAUGAAGAAAUUGAAUGAACAUGUUAUGGACAGAGUUGAAUUCCCAAAGAUCAUGCAUCCAUUUUAUAUUUUAGCACAUAUGCGGAAGUUGUGCAGCUUCGUAUUAAAGUAAAUUCAUGUUUCAAAUCUAAGCACAUAUGCAGAAGUUGUGCAGCUUCG
rnacentral:lncRNA from 1 species